UAUGUCACGGUUCUUACCAAGUUGCGACAGUAAGAUCGACAGUCUACCUUUAGGCGAGAGCGAAUCUAAUCUGGUUGAUCUUUGGAAUUCCCGGCAAAUACGUUGUGAAUACCUCUCAUAAUGUCGUAUAUUAUUAAUGUGUAUUUUUUCUGUGUUUACUUCUUUCUAAGAAUAGAUAUUCUACACACAAAUACAAUGUAGGCAACCCUGAAAUUUUGCAGAUUUGGAUGCUAUACAUUGAAAGCAUCAUAAAAUUAUUCAAGACGACUUCAAGUGGUUUGUGAUUUGUAUUCUCGUGCCAUAUGAGAGUAUGAGACACACAUUCGGCUUAGAUAGAUACGCAUUCGAAUAUAGGUAUUUGUAAACGGUUACGGUAAUUAUAUUCGAAACCCGUUCUUAUCUCCAAACGUACUGAUUAAGCCAGGUGUUUUUGGUAUUGUGCAAUCCGUGAAAGAAACAAUAAACAUUUUUGGAGGCGAUUCCACUUACCUGAUACGAUAAGAGCCUCGUUCGGUCCAACGGUGUGUAUGUUGCCCAUGGUUGUUGAUGAGAUGUGUCCUACAAGCUAAAAUAAUCCUUUAUUGAGUACACCGAACUGUUGAGAAACGCAAGUCGAGAUCACUUUUUUAUGUAGACACGCUAAUUAAGUGCCGCACUAAACUAAUAUGAUUCACGCCUCACAAUACAACUCAGCAGGCUUUGAGUGUGAGUUGUAGAUUCCAGAGUGAUAAACGUGAAAUACACUUUUAGAUUUUGAUAGGAAUUUAAGAAUAAAUUUAAUAAAAGCUCCUGGAAAGGUG